CCUACGGGUGGCAGCAGUGGGGAAUAUUGGGCAAUGGAGGCAACUCUGACCCAGCAAUUCCGCGUGUAUGAAGAAGGUCCUCGGAUUGUAAAGUUCUUUAAUCAGGGACGAAAAGAAUGACGGUCCCUGAUGACUCAGCCGCGGCUAACUAUGUGCCAGCAGCCGCGGUAAUACAUAGGGGGCAACCGUUGUACGGAAUGACUGGGCGUAAAGGGAGCGUAGGCGGUUGGUUAAGGUGGAAGUGAAAUCCCGGGGCUCAACCCCGGAACUGCUUUCAAGACUGACGGACUUGAGUGUAAGAGGGGGAAGCGGAAUUCCUAGUGUAGCGGUGGAAUGCGUAGAUAUGAGGAGGAACACCAGUGGCGAAGGCGGCUUACUGGAAUAUAACUGACGCUGAGGCUCGAAAGCGUGGGGAGCAAACAGGAUUAGAUACCCCAGUAGUC
rnacentral:rRNA from 1 species